AGUCGAGCGAGCUUGCCUAGAUGAUUUUAGUGCUUGCACUAAAUGACACUAGAUACAAGCGAGCGGCGGACGGGUGAGUAACACGUGGGUAACCUGCCCAAGAGACUGGGAUAACACCUGGAAACAGAUGCUAAUACCGGAUAACAACACUAGACGCAUGUCUAGAGUUUGAAAGAUGGUUCUGCUAUCACUCUUGGAUGGACCUGCGGUGCAUUAGCUAGUUGGUAAGGUAACGGCUUACCAAGGCAAUGAUGCAUAGCCGAGUUGAGAGACUGAUCGGCCACAUUGGGACUGAGACACGGCCCAAACUCCUACGGGAGGCAGCAGUAGGGAAUCUUCCACAAUGGACGAAAGUCUGAUGGAGCAACGCCGCGUGAGUGAAGAAGGGUUUCGGCUCGUAAAGCUCUGUUGGUAGUGAAGAAAGAUAGAGGUAGUAACUGGCCUUUAUUUGACGGUAAUUACUUAGAAAGUCACGGCUAACUACGUGCCAGCAGCCGCGGUAAUACGUAGGUGGCAAGCGUUGUCCGGAUUUAUUGGGCGUAAAGCGAGUGCAGGCGGUUCAAUAAGUCUGAUGUGAAAGCCUUCGGCUCAACCGGAGAAUUGCAUCAGAAACUGUUGAACUUGAGUGCAGAAGAGGAGAGUGGAACUCCAUGUGUAGCGGUGGAAUGCGU
rnacentral:rRNA from 1 species